rnacentral:snoRNA from 1 species
UGAUGGAUGUAUCCAGAACAGCGACUGCUGACACCAAUGAUGUCUACUUUUGGAGCUGAUC